UUUGUUGUUGCUCUAAUGGCCUAGUGCACAUAUUGAACCAAAGGUAGAAGAGCGCUGCAACUUUGUUGUUAGUGGCCUAGUGCACAUAUUGAACCAAAGGUAGAAGAGCAACAACAAAGUUGCAGCUCU